UUUAAACGUAGCCAUAAGUUUUUAGUGUCCAAUUUGAAUCAUCCAUUUUAUUUGAAAUUUUUUAUGAUUGAUAAUAAUAUUAUUAUUAGAUGAUAAAAUAUUAAUAAUAUGUGUGACUUAUGUUUUAUAUUUUUUAAAAAAAAUUUAAAUAAGACGGACGAUUAAAAUCGGACACGAAAACUCAUGGCUACGUUUAAA
rfam:Oryza rufipogon genomic scaffold, chr04